rnacentral:rRNA from 1 species
AGAGUUUGAUCCUGGCUCAGGCUAAACGCUGGCGGCGUGCUUAACACAUGCAAGUCGAACGGACUGAUGAGAGAGCUUGCUCUUUCUGAAAGUUAGUGGCGGACGGGUGAGUAACGCGUGGGAAACCUGCCUUACACUGGGGGAUAACAGAUGGAAACGCCUGUUAAUACCGCAUAAGCGCACGGUGCUGCAUGGCACCGUGUGAAAAACUCCGGUGGUGUAAGAUGGUCCCGCGUCUGAUUAGCUAGUUGGUGAGGUAACGGCCCACCAAGGCGACGAUCAGUAGCCGGCCUGAGAGGGCGUACGGCCACAUUGGGACUGGGACACGGCCCAGACUCCUACGGGAGGCAGCAGUGGGGAAUAUUGCACAAUGGAGGAAACUCUGAUGCAGCGACGCCGCGUGAGUGAAGAAGUAUCUCGGUAUGUAAAACUCUAUCAGCAGGGAAGAUAAUGACGGUACCUGACUAAGAAGCACCGGCUAAAUACGUGCCAGCAGCCGCGGUAAUACGUAUGGUGCAAGCGUUAUCCGGAUUUACUGGGUGUAAAGGGUGCGUAGGUGGUAUGGCAAGUCAGAUGUGAAAGCACGGGGCUCAACCCCGUGACUGCAUUUGAAACUGUCAAACUAGAGUGCAGGAGAGGAAAGUGGAAUUCCUAGUGUAGCGGUGAAAUGCGUAGAUAUUAGGAAGAACACCAGUGGCGAAGGCGGCUUUCUGGACUGUAACUGACACUGAGGCACGAAAGCGUGGGGAGCAAACAGGAUUAGAUACCCUGGUAGUCCACGCUGUAAACGAUGAAUACUAGGUGUCGGAGGGUUAUACCUUCGGUGCCGUCGCAAACGCAUUAAGUAUUCCACCUGGGGAGUACGUUCGCAAGAAUAAAACUCAAAGGAAUUGACGGGGACCCGCACAAGCGGUGGAGCAUGUGGUUUAAUUCGAAGCAACGCGAAGAACCUUACCAGAUCUUGACAUCGGCAUGACCGGUGUUUCAAUGACACUUUUCCUUCGGGACAUGCUAGACAGGUGGUGCAUGGUUGUCGUCAGCUCGUGUCGUGAGAUGUUGGGUUAAGUCCCGCAACGAGCGCAACCCCUAUCUUUAGUAGCCAGCAAGUCAAGUUGGGCACUCUGGAGAGACUGCCCGGGAUAACCGGGAGGAAGAUGGGGAUGACGUCAAAUCAUCAUGCCCCUUACGAUCUGGGCUACACACGUGCUACAAUGGCGGAUACAAAGGGAUGCAAAGCCGUGAGGCCAAGCGAACCCCAAAAAGUCCGUCUCAGUUCGGAUUGUAGUCUGCAACUCGACUACAUGAAGCUGGAAUCGCUAGUAAUCGCGAAUCAGAACGUCGCGGUGAAUACGUUCCCGGGUCUUGUACACACCGCCCGUCACACCAUGGGAGCUGGAAAUGCCCGAAAUCAGUGAUCUAACCUUUAUGGAGGAAGCUGCUGAAGGCAGGUCUGGUAACUGGGGUGAAGUCGUAACAAGGUAGCCGUAUCGGAAGGUGCGGCUGGAUCACCUCCUU